GAGUUGCCAAUAUAAAAAAAACAUCAUUCGAAACAAAUCCGGGCCGCUUGGGCAUGACCUUCACCUCUCCUUUCUCGUCCAGCAGCGCUCCGUCAGUCCAAGCGUAGCCUUGCAUUCUUUGCGUCCCUAGAAACAACGUUGACGUGCACAAGCAAAGUCACGCAUCAUAAAUGCCGUUUAUUCUAAAAGAAAGAGUGAUUUACCGCUAAGCAGUAUGCAUCUGAGGCAGAAAAUUUAUUCAAGCUCUGAAGUCCCAAACAACUGAAAAUGCUCCAAAACACCAUCACGUGACCCUGGUAUUCUCAAAGUGCUGGUGAAAUAGCAGACACUACAUCUGUCUAUGAGCAAUGGACAGAACUGAGAAUACCUUAUCAUGAACAGUAGUGUGCACUGCUGGCAACAUCCUGUUUUUUUGGCACACAAUAGCAUCCCUCCUGAUCAAGUGAAAAGGAAUCCUAUGACACCGCUUGAUCUUUGUCUGACAUGGAAAUCUGCAAAUCAAAUAAGAUAUCCGCUUUAAUGAAGUCAUGAACUGGACGCUGCGCUCUUGAUUCCAGCACUAAUAUUGUCAUGACCAAAUGUUAAUAAUUUUCAUAUUCAGCAAGUUGAAGAUGACUGACACCAUCUUUAAGUUUCACAAAUAUGUUAUUCAGAAGUUUUUUGUUUUCACUACUGAUUUAUAUAUAGUAUUAAAAAAUGGAUUUCUGCAAUAGAAUAAAGUAUUGAAAUACA
rnacentral:lncRNA from 1 species